rnacentral:lncRNA from 1 species
UCCAGAAACUCCAUCACUGCCCCAAAGAUAUAUUGUUUCUCUACGGAAUAAAGAGCUUGGCACUAGUGAGGCACUCAUCCACAUUAUUGUUGCAGGGCUACAAUGACUGUGACAGGGCACUGCAGUUUCGGAUCAGUCAAUAAGUGUCUUGUCAGGUCUCCAUUCUCACAAAAAAGACCACCACUCACUAGAGGACGAGUCAGAUCAAGUGAUAACUGUUGCAGAGCACGGCAAGAAGACCGUGAUAAAGGAGGCAUUGACUGGGACGCUGAGUGGAGUAAGGCAAAGCAGAGUGAGUGUUUUUAUUCUGACAUUCUUCACUCUGAACUAUUCACUCCAGAUAUGCUUUGCGUGCCAAAUCAAGACCUUCACUGGGAUGUGUUGACAGACCUGCCUGAGGUGGAGAGCAGUACUAGCACAAGGAGAUCAGCCAAAAGAUUACGACGAGAUCAGAUCAGAGAGCAAGAAAGUCUUUUGCUUGACGUGUUUAGCGGAGAGAAC